rnacentral:rRNA from 1 species
GACGAACGCUGGCGGCGUGCUUAACACAUGCAAGUCGAGCGGUAAGGCCCUUUCGGGGGGUACACGAGCGGCGAACGGGUGAGUAACACGUGGGUGACCUGCCCUCAGCUCUGGGAUAAGCCUGGGAAACCGGGUCUAAUACCGAAUAACACUUCGGGCCGGCAUCGGCCUGAAAUUAAAGAUGGCCUCUGCUUGCAAGCUAUCGCUCGGAGAUGAGCCUGCGGCCGAUAGUUAGUUGGCGGGAUAAAAGCCCACCAAGACUUCGAUCGGUAGCCGGUCUGAGAGGAUGUCCGGCCACACUGGGACUGAGAUACGGCCCAGACUCCUACGGGAGGCAGCAGUAGGGAAUAUUGCGCAAUGGCCGCAAGGCUGACGCAGCAACACCGCGUGGGGGA